GGUGAACGCUGGCGGCGUGGAUGAGGCAUGCAAGUCGAAUGGGUUUAGACCCAUGGCAGACGAGGUAGGAACAGGUAGGUACGUACCCUAAAGUCGGGGAUAACCCGGAGAAAUCCGGAAUAAUACUCGAUGGUCUCGCAAGAGUAAAGAUUUAUCGCUUUAGGAACGGCCUGCCUUCUAUCAGCUUGAUGGUAAGGUAACGGCUUACCAUGGCUACGACGGAUAGGGGAGGUGAGAGCCUGACCCCCACCGAUGGAACUGAGACACGGUCCAUACUCCUACGGGAGGCCGCAGUCGAGAAUCUUCCGCAAUGGACGAAAGUCUGACGGAGCGACGCCGCGUGGUGGAUGAAGUCCUUAGGGACGUAAACACCUUUUAUGGAGGAAGAAGUUUAUUGACAUUACUCCAUGAAUAAGGGGCUCCCAAUUCUG
rnacentral:rRNA from 1 species